CAAAAACAUCUCUUUUUGACACAUAAAAAGUACCGUCUGCUCAAUGCAAUUUGUAAAUAGCCGCAGUAUUCUGACUGUGCUAAGGUAGCAUAAUCAUUAGUCUUUUAAUUGAAGGCUGGUAUGAAUGACGAGACGAGAAAAUAGCUGUCUCUAAAAUAAAUCUUGAAUUUUAUUUCUAAGUGAAAAAGCUUAGAUAAUUUUAAAGGACGAUCAGACCCUUUGGAGCUUUAUUUAUUUUAAAUUUUAAUUUAUUUUAGAUUAUUGAAUGAAUAAUAAAUUUUGUUGGGGCGACAGAGAGUAAUAAAUACCACUCUUUUUUUUAAACAAUUAUAAUUGAAAAAUUGAUCCUUAAAGUAAGAUUAAAAGACUAAGUUACCCUAGGGAUAACAGCGUAAUCUUCUUGGAGAGUUCAAAUCGAUAAGAAGGUUUGCGACCUCGAUGUUGGAUUAAGAGAUUGACAAGGUGCAGAAGUUUUGUUGGAAAGUCUGUUCGACUUUUAAUUUCUUACAUGAUCUGA
rnacentral:rRNA from 1 species